rnacentral:misc_RNA from 1 species
GAUGAAGAACGUAGCGAAAUGCGAUAACUAAUGUGAAUUGCAGAAUUCAGUGAAUCAUCGAGUCUUUGAACGCACAUUGCGCCCCCUGGUAUUCCGGGGGGCAUGCCUGUCCGAGCGUCAUUGCUGCCCUCAAGCACGGCUUGUGUGUUGGGCUCCGUCCCCCCGGGGACGGGCCCGAAAGGCAGCGGCGGCACCGAGUCCGGUCCUCGAGCGUAUGGGGCUUUGUCACCCGCUCUGUAGGCCCGGCCGGCGCCAGCCGACAACCCAUCAUCCUUUUCAGGUUGACCUCGUAUCAGGUAGGGAUACCCGCUGAACUUAAGCAUAUCAAUAAGCGGAGGA